UCUUCCGUAGUAUAGUGGUCAGUAUGUGAGCUUGUCAUCGGACUUUCAAGUCCUGACCUCGCUCGAGACCCGGGUUCAAUUCCCGGCGGGAGAG
rfam:Myceliophthora thermophila ATCC 42464 chromosome 7, complete sequence.